rnacentral:rRNA from 1 species
UACGAAGGCAGCAGUGGGGAAUAUUGCACAAUGGGCGCAAGCCUGAUGCAGCCAUGCCGCGUGUAUGAAGAAGGCCUUCGGGUUGUAAAGUACUUUCAGUCGUGAGGAAGGUGUUAAGGUUAAUAACCUUAGCAAUUGACGUUAGCGACAGAAGAAGCACCGGCUAACUCCGUGCCAGCAGCCGCGGUAAUACGGAGGGUGCGAGCGUUAAUCGGAAUUACUGGGCGUAAAGGGCACGCAGGCGGUUAUAAGUUGGAUGUGAAUCCCCGGGCUUAACCUGGGAAUGGCAUUCAAGACUGGUUAGCUAGAGUCUUGUAGAGGGGGUAGAAUUCCAUGUGUAGCGGUGAAAUGCGUAGAGAUGUGGAGGAAUACCGGUGGCGAAGGCGGCCCCUGGACAAAGACUGACGCUCAUGUGCGAAAGCGUGGGGAGCAAACAGGGAUUAGAUACC